rnacentral:rRNA from 1 species
UACGUAGGUGGCGAGCGUUGUCCGGAUUUACUGGGCGUAAAGAGCGCGCAGGCGGUCGUUCAAGUCGAGUGUGAAAGCCCCCGGCUCAACUGGGGAGGGUCACGCGAUACUGAUCGACUCGAAGGCAGGAGAGGGAAGUGGAAUUCCCGGUGUAGUGGUGAAAUGCGUAGAUAUCGGGAGGAACACCAGUGGCGAAGGCGGCUAUCUGGACGGUUUCUGACGCUAAGACGCGAAAGCGUGGGGAGCAAACAGG